CUCCUGAAAGGGUAUAUUUAACAGUGCCAACUCCCUUGUCCAAGUCAGAAUGAAGCUUGAGAAGAAAAAGAAAAACAAAGAGGCGCUGUUUUUGCCUGGCCUUCUGGAGUUUCACGCUACCAGGAAAACAAGUAAAGCACUGCAAAGUAAAUGAGCAAGCGCAAUGUUCAUUUUCAUGGGUCACAGGAAAGAAGGGGAAAAUAAGACAAACAUACAAAGACAAAAAGCAUAUAAUGACCACAGGAAAGGCUGGAUGGUAAAAGCAAUGAGCAGAGGGAACUAGUGCCAGUUGAAGAUUUGUCCCACC